rnacentral:ncRNA from 1 species
CAAUACGCUUCAAAUGGGGCCGUUAGAUAGAAAUAUCUAAAUGAACAUCUGGCUGUAUGCUGGGAACUCCUUAUUAUAAAUUCAAAAAAAAGAAAAAAAAGAAACGAGAGCUUUUUUGAAUAAGUAAUUUAAAUAUAUAAAACGACUUAUUUAAGUUUUAAGUAAAUAAGUAAAACUGUUUUAUAACGGACAAUCAGCAGGGAAGUCCUAUGACUUUAAAAGUUAUGACCCCUCAACGACUACACGCCGGACACCCAAUAAAAAAUAAGUAUUAUACGUAAACACGCUACGCGUGUUUACUAAUAUAAUAAUUUUAUUUAGGGUGAUGAUAUAGUCUACUACUUAUGUAAACAUAAGG